AGGACUCAGAAUGCGACAAGAUUUUGUCCUCAAGACAAUUCAAGCUCUGACAUUGGGCAAACAAUUGCUAAAGAUGCCUACAAACACUGCAAGCUUUUGCUGGAGUCACAGUAUGGAGCUUCUAGCUCUAAACACAAAAGGGUGAUGGACAACCGUAGAUUGACGAGGAACCAUUCACUCGUAGAUAUUCGUAGCCAGUUACUUCACCGGUCAUUGGUGGAAGAAGUGAACAAGAGACGGUUGUUCAAGACUGUAGGAUCCGUCGAAAAUGUUGGUUUCCAGGCACCUCCUGAGGAUUCUAAAAAAGUGGCAAAGUGGCACAGCAGAAUUCACGCNAAAUAAGAAUGAGCUCUUGUGGAUAACAGAAGUGAAUAGAAAAAGUAAAUGAUGACUUGGCCUUGAAACAGACAUAAAAGGAAAAUGCUUGAACUACAAGCUGUG
rnacentral:misc_RNA from 1 species